GACGGAGGGUGCUAGCGUUGUUCGGAAUUACUGGGCGUAAAGCGCGCGUAGGCGGCUUUGUAAGUUAGAGGUGAAAGCCCGGGGCUCAACCCCGGAAUUGCCUUUAAGACUGCAUCGCUAGAAUCCGGGAGAGGUGAGUGGAAUUCCGAGUGUAGAGGUGAAAUUCGUAGAUAUUCGGAAGAACACCAGUGGCGAAGGCGGCUCACUGGACCGGUAUUGACGCUGAGGUGCGAAAGCGUGGGGAGCAAACAGG
rnacentral:rRNA from 1 species